AGUGAACGCUGGCGGCAGGCCUAACACAUGCAAGUCGAACGGCAGCACAGCAGUAGCAAUACUGUGGGUGGCGAGUGGCGGACGGGUGAGGAAUACAUCGGAAUCUGCCUUAUCGUGGGGGAUAACGUAGGGAAACUUACGCUAAUACCGCAUACGACCUACGGGUGAAAGCGGAGGACCUUCGGGCUUCGCGCGAUAAGAUGAGCCGAUGUCGGAUUAGCUAGUUGGCGGGGUAAAGGCCCACCAAGGCGACGAUCCGUAGCUGGUCUGAGAGGAUGAUCAGCCACACUGGAACUGGGACACGGUCCAGACUCCUACGGGAGGCAGCAGUGGGGAAUAUUGGACAAUGGGCGCAAGCCUGAUCCAGCCAUGCCGCGUGGGUGAAGAAGGCCUUCGGGUUGUAAAGCCCUUUUGUCCGGAAAGAAAAGCACUGGGUUAAUACCUCGGUGUUCUGACGGUACUGGAAGAAUAAGCACCGGCUAACUUCGUGCCAGCCGCCGCAGUAAAAC
rnacentral:rRNA from 1 species